GCUCUGUUGGUCUAGUGGAAUGAUUCUCACUUAGAGUGUGAGAGGUCCCGGGUUCAAAUCUGGGAUGAGCU